rnacentral:tRNA from 1 species
GGAACGUAGCUCAGUCGGUAGAGCAACGGUCUGAAAAACCGUGAGUCGGCGGUUCGAUUCCGCCCGUUCCC